rnacentral:lncRNA from 1 species
AGCUCACGGGUCCCCUUUUUAACAGUGGGGUCCCGAUGUUGGGUCGACUCAAGAAUUUUCUUGGGUCGACUCAACGUUGGGUCGACCCUAUUCUGGGUUGGGUCAACCCAAGUUCAGAAUUUUUUUUCUUUCUCUUCCUUUUUGCUUCUAAAAAUUUUCCUUGCUUCCAAUCCUUACAAAUUCUAUCCGGGACAAUGAUACAUGAGUAAGGAAUCUAUA